UACGAAGGGUGCAAGCGUUACUCGGAAUUACUGGGCGUAAAGCGUGCGUAGGUGGUUUUUUAAGUCCGUUGUGAAAGCCCUGGGCUCAACCUGGGAAUGGCAGUGGAUACUGGAAAGCUAGAGUGCGGUAGAGGGUAGUGGAAUUCCCGGUGUAGCAGUGAAAUGCGUAGAUAUCGGGAGGAACACCUGUGGCGAAAGCGGCUCACUGGACCGCAACUGACGCUGAGGCGCGAAAGCUAGGGGAGCAAACAGG
rnacentral:rRNA from 1 species